rnacentral:misc_RNA from 1 species
AACGCACGAGACCUGCGGACCUGCGGAGGGAUCAUUAAUGAAAAGCUGCCCCUCGUGGGUAGACCUCCCACCCUCUGUGAACUUACCUUUGUUGCUUUGGCAGGCCCGUCCUCUGGACCGCCGGCUUCGGCUGGCCCGUGCCUGCCAGAGGAUUCCAAACCCUGUCUGUCAGUGUUGUCUGAGUCUAUAUGAAAUCGUUAAAACUUUCAACAAUGGAUCUCUAGAUCGGAAGAGCACACG